rnacentral:lncRNA from 1 species
GGCAGUUUACAUCACAUCAUGAAGUAUAACUUGGCAUCUAGAAGUCAGAGGGAACAACGUUCAAAUCCUAAGUCCUCUACUUAUGAGCUGUGUGACACUGGAUGACUUCACUAACAUCUCUCUACUUCAGUUUUACCGUAGAAAAAAUGGGAGCUAUAACAGUACCUACCUGAAAAGGCUGUGGAGAAGAUGAAAUGACAAAGUGAGUGUAAAGUGGCUGGGGUAGCACCUGGCAGAGUAAGAAAGCUGCUACAAAUAGUUGUGGAAUUACUACCUACAUUGACUUUUUUCAGAACUUCCAGGAACUAAUCUUGAAACAGACCAAGCACAGAGAGCCAGCUACAGAAGUCCAGAGAUUACCUCAAGGCAGUUAGUCAACAACCCAGCCAUUGUUCAGAUGACAGCAUCCUACACUCCAGGUGGACCAUGGCUCGAGAUAACCACCAGAACAAGACACUCCCACCUUGUACUCAGCAGCCUGCCUGCCUGCCUCCCAUUGCAAGUUCCCCUUUUUAAGCUCUCCUCCCCAGCCUAAAGUGUGAAGUGGUUGCUUUGGAAGAGAAUCUGGCCGUUUCUCGAUUACUAGUGUUGGUUAAUAAAGUCACUUUCUUUCUACUACACCUCACUGUUGUCACUGGACUCUGUAAGUGGUAGCAGCUAUGUACCAGGACUGAGGGAAAAAAUAGGAAGAGGAAAAUUUACCAUAAACUAGAAGCUUGGUGCCCUGAAACCUGGUACUUAGACCACAGAUGAGCCUGCUCAAUUACUGCCGCUGCCUCUGAGGAGCCCUGAUGACACUGAUGCUGAGAUACUGAUGGAAGCUGGUGGCUGGGUCCAUGGCUGCUGCUAAAGUGAUACUGAUGGUGCCUGGAAAACAGAAAAUGUACGGAUAUGUGAACCCUUUCCAGUCUUCUCUUACGGUUUUAGACAACACAGUUCAUCCGAGUCUUUCCCCAAAGGAAUAUCAGAAAACUGAAGAAGUGAAACGCCUUACUCAAGGUCACAAAGAGGGGUAGUGCAGAACAAAGAACAAAUCUUGACGUCCUAUUUCUUAGUCUAAAACAAUCUUGUCAUUGCCCCACCUAUAGCACAUUUCUUGGACUAUUUAAAAGACACUAUUUUAUAAUUUAAAAGUAAAUUUUAUUUCUUUAACAAUGAAAAAUCACUUAAAGUCCACGUUGGGAAACAAGGCUGAUUUUUAGAAAAAAAAAAAACUUCUCUAGCUAUAAAAAUAUAGGAAUAACUUUUUCCUCAUCUUAUUUUGAAAGCAGUUCCAACAUGUGUAGACCCAAGAGAAGAAAAAAAAUAUAUACACACACACACACACACAUAUGUUAAUAUAGACACACAAAUGUAUACAUACACAUAUAUAAAACAUUCAUAAAUAUGACAUUCACUUGGGUGACUAUAUUUGCAUUUUAAAUGUUUUUAUUUAUACAUUUUUAUUGAUACAUAUAUUAGUGGUACAUAUUUUGGGAGUACAGGUGAUAUUUUGAUACUUAUAGACAGUGUGAAAUAAUCAGACUAGGGUGGUUGGGAUAUCCAUUGCCUCAAACAUAUGUCUUUUCUUUGUGUUGAAAACAUUACAAUUCUUAUUUUCCAGUUAUUUUGAGAUAUAAAAGCAAUUAUUAACUAUAACUAUCCCACUGUACUAUCAAAUACCAGAACUCAUUCCUUUCAUCUAACUAUAUUUCUGUCCCUCCUAACCAACUUCUCUUUAUCCCCUCUCCACUCUUCCCUUCUCAGACUCUGAUAACCACCAUUCCACUCUCUAUCUUCCUAAGAUCCACUUUUUUAGCUCCUACAUGUGAGUGAGAACAUGUGACAUUUGUCUGUCUGUUCCUGGUUUAUUUCACUUAGUGACCUCCAGUUUCAUCCACGUUGCUGCAAAGACAAUAUUUCAUCCCUUUUUAUGGGUGAAUAAUAUUCCACUGUGUAUAUAUACCACAUUUUCUUUAUUCAUUCAUUCAUUGGUGAACAAUUAGGUUGAUUCCAUAUCUUUGCUACUGUGAAUAGUACUACAAUAAACAUGACAGUGCAGAUAUCACUUUGAUAUACUGAUUUCCUUUUUGCGGGGGAUAUGUGUGACAUUUCUGGAUUAUGUGGUAGUUCUGGUUUUUAGUUUUGUAAGGAACCUCCACACUGUUUUCCAUAAUGGCUGCACUACUUUACCACCAACGGUGUCCACUCAUUCCCCUUUCUUCAUAUCCUUACAAGCACUUGUUAUUUUUUGUCUUUUCAAUAACAGUCAUUCUAACUGGGGUGCGAUGAUACUUCAUGGUGAUUUUGAUUUGCAUUUUCCUGAUGAUUAGUGAUAUUCAGCUUUUUUAUUAUUUAUUUAUUUAUUUAUUACAAAACGCUAGCAAAAGGUCUUCCUUUUAUGAUAUAUAUGUGUGUGUGCAUAUGCACAACAUGCACACACACACAUACACACCACUUAUACAUGCCACAGGCUAAUAUCCUGUUGGCCAUUUGGAUAUCAUUUUUGAGAAAUGUCUAUUCAAGUCUUUUGCCCAUUUUUAAAUUAGAUUAUUUGUUUUUGGCUAAUCAGUUUGAGUUUUUAUGUAUUCUUGUUAUUAAUCCCUUGUUGGAUGGAUAGUUUGCAAAUAUUUUCUCCCAUUCUCUGAGUUGUCUCUUCACUUUGUUGACUGUUUCCUUUAUUGUGAAGAAGCUUUUUAGCUUGAUGCAAUCCCAUUUCUCUAAUUUUGUUUUGUUGCCUCUGCUUUUGAGGUCUUACUCCCAAAAAUCUUUGCCCAGACUAUUGCCCUGGAGCAUUUCCCCAAUGUUUUCUUUACAUUUAAGUCUCAUCCAUUUUGAGUUGAUUUUUAUAUAUAGUGAAAAAUGAGAAUCUAGUUUCAUUCUUCUGCAUAUGGAUAUCCAGUUUUCCCAGAAUCAUUUAUUAAGAGUUUGCUCUUUUUCUCUAAUGUAUUUUCUUGGUGCCUUUGCCAAAAAUGAGUUGAAUGUAAGUGCAUAGAUUUCUUCCUAGGUUUUACAUUCUGUUUCAUUGGUCUAUUUGUCUAUUUAUACGCCAGUGUCAUGCUGCUUUGGUUGCUACAGCUUUGUAGUAUAAUUUGAAAUAAGUUAGUGUGAUGCCUCCAGCUUUGUUCUUUUUGCUUUAUCUAUUUUGGGUCUUUUGUGGUUCCAUGUGAAUUUUAGGAUUGUUUUUAUUAUUUCUAUGAAGAAUAUCAUCUGUAUUUUGGUAGUGAUUGCAUUGAAUCUGUAGAUUGCUUUGGGUAUUACAGAUAUUUUAACAAUAUUAAUUUUUUCC